rnacentral:rRNA from 1 species
GCCUACGGGAGGCAGCAGUGGGGAAUAUUGGACAAUGGGGGGAACCCUGAUCCAGCCAUGCCGCGUGUGUGAAGAAGGCCUUAUGGUUGUAAAGCACUUUAAGCGAGGAGGAGGCUACUGAGACUAAUACUCUUGGAUAGUGGACGGUACUCGCAGAAUAAGCACCGGCUAACUCUGUGCCAGCAGCCGCGGUAAUACAGAGGGUGCGAGCGUUAAUCGGAUUUACUGGGCGUAAAGCGUGCGUAGGCGGCUUUUUAAGUCGGAUGUGAAAUCCCCGAGCUUAACUUGGGAAUUGCAUUCGAUACUGGGUAGCUAGAGUAUGGGAGAGGAUGGUAGAAUUCCAGGUGUAGCGGUGAAAUGCGUAGAGAUCUGGAGGAAUACCGAUGGCGAAGGCAGCCAUCUGGCCUAAUACUGACGCUGAGGUACGAAAGCAUGGGGAGCAAACAGGAUUAGAUACCCUAGUAGUCU